UUUAUUUUUUCUCUCUAUUCUCUAUUCUCUUCUUUCUUCUCUAAUCUCUAUACCUGGAGGUGCAGUGAGCUAUUUUUCUGUGUGAAUCCCGAGAGGAGUGUUACAGCUACCGACAACCCAUGGAGUCCCACGACCACCAGCACUCCCCCAAAUCGCCCCAAACCCCAUCCCCACCGACGGCUACCGCAGCCACCACCACCGAUGCUACCUGCCGCAAAUGCGGUAGUCCCACCACCUUCACACCACCGCAGCCAUGGUCCGAAGUCAGCCCGCCUCCGACAUACCGCCCCAUCCGCUCUCCGGCCAUUAAUCUUCCCCCAAACAACCACUCCCAACAGGCCAUAAUCCUCGCCCCUGUCCCAAAGUCCCAAAAGGUCCCUCUCGUCUCCCCUCCCUACCACUUCCUACUCCCCACCAAAAGAAUCCUAUCCCCCGAUGACAUCCGCCGCUUCCUAGACUCAGACGCCGCCAAGAACUUUCUCGGCUUCAUCGUUGCUCUCUCCGAGUCCAUCCGCUCCCACAAAAUCUCUGACCCAUGCCACUUGUCCCCGACAAUCGACUCCAUCGUCUCUAUCACCGAGACACUAAUUCGCUGGAUCGACGAAAUCCCUCCGCUUCAGCAAGCCUCUCGCUAUGGCAACCUCUCUUACCGUACGUGGCAUGACCGUCUGGCCGAAACCAGCGAGUCCUUGAUGCUCAGUUUUCUUCCCGACGAUCUCCAAUCCGCCACGGUCGAGAUCGUUCCAUACUUCGCCGAUAGUUUCGGGAACUCGAGUCGCAUUGACUACGGUACCGGCCACGAAACCAACUUCGCCGCUUGGUUGUACUGCUUAGCUCGGUUGGGGCUCAUCAAAGAGGAGGAUUACCAAGCUGUUGUGGCUAGGGUUUUUGUGAAGUAUCUCGAAUUAAUGAGAAAGUUGCAAUUGGUUUAUUGCUUGGAGCCUGCGGGUUCGCACGGGGUUUGGGGCCUCGACGACUAUCAUUUUCUGCCGUUUAUCUUCGGAUCGUCGCAGCUGAUCGAUCACAAGUAUAUAAAGCCCAAAUCAAUUCAUAAUCAGGAUAUACUGGAUAAUUUUUCGAAUGAGUAUUUGUACCUUGAGUGCAUUGCGUUUGUUAAGAAGGUGAAGAAGGGUUUGUUCGCGGAGCACUCGCCCUUAUUGGAUGAUAUAACCGUAGUGCAUACUUGGAACAAAGUCAAUAGCGGGCUGCUGAAGAUGUACAAGGUGGAGGUCUUGGAGAAGGUCCCUAUCAUGCAGCAUUUUCUGUUUGGGUCGCUUAUCAAAUGAUCAAUUGACUGAGAAGGGUCUUCAUAGUGGAGGGGUCUUGACUGUCCGUCCUCGGUGGUUAAGAAUUGUGUGACUGUCUUGCAGGAAACUCCUUGCCGAGUGCCGUGCACCCCCAGGAUUAGUACCAAUCAGAAAAAAAAAAAUGCUAAAGACCGUCUUGCAAUGUGAGAUAAGUUUGUGACAGUUUGAGAAGUUUCUAUUAUUAGGCAUGGUACUAAUUAAGUUCUUUAAGCUAUAUGGAAUCACCUCACCGUUGGACGCCCAUUGGAUGAUUUUGCUAAGUUACAUUGAACAGCAUAUGGAUGAAUUCUCUGGGAUUAAUUUACCAUUAGCCAUAGGGCCACUGUAAGAGUAAAUUUGAUGGUCCACCUGUUAAACUAUUACUUUGAGCCUUCUUCUCUUUGUGCAUAUUCGUGGGUGGUGUUAUUCGGAGCAAUUUUCAACUUUGGAUUCCUUUCUACUCAAGAGUUGGUUUCUGAUUGAUAAUUAAACCUCUUUUUUGUUUUUUUCCUAGCAAGGCUAAUGUGAUAGUUGUUAUAUA